rnacentral:sRNA from 1 species
GCCGGGCGUGGUGGCGGGUGCCUGUAGUCCCAGCUACUCAGGAGGCUGAGGCAGGAGAAUGGCGUGAACCCAGGAGGCAGAGGUUGCAGUGAGCCGAGAUAGCGAUACUGCACUCCAGCCUGCGCAAAAAACCACAGAACUGGUAAUGGACAGUGCAGGACCCUGAAUCCAGCUCUUGCACACUUUACAAUGCUGACCUAUAAGGAGGGGCUUUUUUUUUUUUUUUUUUUUUUUGAGACAGAGUCUCACUCUGUUGCCCAGGCUGGAGUGCAGUGGCAUGAUCUCGGCUCACUGCAACCUCCACCUCCUAGGUUCAAGAGAUUCUCCUGCCUCAG